UCUUUCCUGGAGUACAGGUGUAAUUGCUCUAGCGCUAAUUUGUCUUCGGGGCAAUGUGACGCCGUGGUCCAUCAAAGAUGAGGAGUCAACUGUCCAUGUUUCAAGGGGAGAGUAUAGUACUGUCUAUCAUUUAUAUUAUUAUUCUCACUAUUAUUACUAUAAUUUUUACUAAAAUAAUUGAUGUUAUUAUUACUAUUGCUUAAGUUGUUGCUGCUAAAAUUGAAAUUAUGAAUUGUCUGCUCAUUAAUAUAGUCUAAAAGAUUUUUAUCCUAAGUUGCUUGUACAUGAGGCGUUAUAGCUUCCCUAGCUGUAAUGUUUUUUUUCUUGAAGUUGCAUCAUAGUAUCAAAAUAUCACCGGAAAGCUGUUGUCCGAAAAAAAAUUCUUCAUAAUACUUUAUGAGGUUAAUGGAGUACUUAGCAAUAACAAAGGGAAUGAUGUCUUCAAAGCAUACUGUAAUAGGUCGGUUUGAAAAGAAGAAUGCCUUCAAGAGCCCGAUCUUGAAAUUUUUAAUAUCCCGGAUGGUAAUGAAGGAUUAUUCAACCCAGGAUCUAUAGUAACUCAGUCCGCUGGAAUUACCAUUCUUUUUUGGAAAAUUGUUUAAAAUAUAUAGACCGCGUCAUAUAAAGCUUCACUCCAGAAAGCUUUUAAUAAUAUAGACUGUUUUAAUACGCUAUGAGCCUUGUUACACAUUAUCUGAAAGCUUCUCUCACUCAGCAAGUAUUGCGUUCACUGCUCCUGUCGGUUCUUAUUUCUCGAUUACAGAAGCUGUGG